GUUGUGUUUCUUUACAAAUGACUUUAUGUUUAACUCAUUCUAUUUUGUGCCGACGUGUACUUAUCUAUGACAUUAAGAGCAAGCUGAUUUACCCCACCCGCUAAUGUUGAACUUGUAGUUGUUCUACUAUUAAAUGUUGUGAUUGAACAAUACUUUACCUCGAAAUUGUUGAUUAUAACAUCAUGAUCAUGAAAAUGAAUAUGACAUCAUGAUACUGUUUGUGUUUGCUAUUUCUAAACUAGUUUAUUGUAUUUGUGAGUUAAGAAGAUGCUGAUGGUACCUUAUGUAUUUAAUAAUUGUAGAAAAAUCACCAUAAUUGUUUCUAUAUUGUUCUCAUUUGAUGACAAUGUUUUUGGAUUGGUCAUUGUCAGCUCGGAUACUAAUUACCUGUACCCCCCGUACUCUUUAAGUAUAUUUACAUGUAGAGCUAACCCUGUUACAGUUAAUAUACUUUAACAUAGCCGGAAAUUUAAUGCUAAAUGGGUUGUUGUAGGCUUAAUUUUUUUUAAUUAUGUUCACAUUAAUGUCAAUUUUUUUCUCAAAUAGUCUUUAUAUCAUCGAAAUUUAUACUCAAAAAGCAUGUUGAUGCAGUUUUUUCAAAAGGUAAGUUUUAUUUAGAUAAACAAUAUCGCUUUACAUUUAUCUGUAGUGCACUGUACCACAUCGGAUUUUGGGCAGGAAUACAACUCGGGUACAGUCUAAUAAGGACUGGGUACGUUUAAGUAUAUUAACCUUACCCGAGGUACAUGCAAGUAUGCUUAAUGGUACCAGGGGUACAUGUAAGUAGUACCCAAGCUGUGAAUAACCAAUCGAGCGUGAGUAAAGUAGAUUGUACCUUAUGUCUUUAAUAAUUGCAGAACAAUUACCUUAAUUAUUUCUAUAUUGUUUUCAUUUGAUUACAAUUUAUUUAUUUGUCAAAUUCAAUUCUGCAGUGCUAAAAAUAUGCACCCCCCAUCCAAAAAUUUUAUUUCGUGCAUAUUGAUGUGGCUUUUUUAUUUAUUUACUCCUUUUCUGCAUUCCUCCCUUUUGUGUUGGUAAUGUGAACAUGAAAUGAUGAGCACUCUCAUGUUAAUGAAUAACUUUUAUUUUUUAUAGAUUUUGGUUUAUUGCAUAUUGCCAAGGGAGAUGUUUACUGAGGUUUCCAUGCCAUUAAUGUGCAGGCUGUUGCUGACGCCAGCAUGAGCAAUAUCUGAGCACGAAUGAUGAGGGUCAUCUGCUGGGAGAUAGUGGGUAUCUGUUAAGGACUAACCUGAUGACCCCUUAACCUCAUCCCUCCCAUGCUGCGGAACAGGCCUACAAUGACCAUCUUUGUAGAGCGUGGGUAGUAGAAAGGGCAUUUGGAGUGUUGAAAUCACGAGAUUGAUAUCUGCAUGCCACUGGUGGAUGUUGGCCUUUCAAGUCCAAUAAGUGCUGUGAAAUAUCAAGUGUGUACAUGCCCCUGCAUAACCUGUGUCUGGAUUCAAACGUUCCACUGAUAGAGGAAUUGGUUGGAAAUGUGAUGGAACCGGAAGUUAUGAACAACACUCCAGUACAUCGAGCAGCAUGUGAUAAGAGGCAGCAGCUGAUCAAACUGUUUCAUUUUAUUUGUUUUUUAAUUGUAGUUAUAAAUGUUAUAAAGUGAUAGAUGGCUUGAGUCUUCUCUGAAUAGGCAGAGCUACACUACUCGGCCAAAUGGCGUAAAGUUGUGUCAUCGCUGAUUUGGAAGGAUUGGUAUUCCUGGUCGUCUAGACACAAUAGUUACAACAGCUGAUGUUUGCAUGUUUUAUAAUUGUGUAUGCAUAAUUUGUCUAAUAUUUACUUCAAGGUUAUAGGAUUGUGAAAGAAAAAAAUGCCAAUGUUCUGAGGACCAAUAAAAAAGUUAUGUGUUAGAUAUUA